UUAAUAACCUUGAUCAAGAGGAAUUGAGCGUCUGUUUUUCAGUGAGGAAGCAUUCAGUGUGAAGCUUUCAAACGGCGGUCGAUGAGUAGCUUGUGAGUUGCGCUGAUGAAAUUAAGUAAUUAUCGCCGGUUCAUGCCGUUAUCGUGUUGAGUUGGAAGUUGGUCCUUAGUGAUGCAAUUUCAAUUUAGGUGGUACCGCGAGUUAAUCGUCCUAUGU
rnacentral:ncRNA from 1 species